rnacentral:rRNA from 1 species
GGAUGCGAUCAUACCAGCACUAAAGCACCGGAUCCCAUCAGAACUCCGAAGUUAAGCGUGCUUGGGUGAGAGUAGUACUAGGAUGGGUGACCUCCUGGGAAGUCCUCGUGUUACAUUCC